rnacentral:rRNA from 1 species
AUGUUGGGAGCCUGCUACCUGUUUGAUGGCCACCAUGGAUCUGGAGCGGCCAUAUACGCAAAGAGCAAUCUGCUGAACAAUGUCCUGCGUGCAGUGCUUCCACGCAGGGAUGACUGGCUUGCAGUGCUUCCACGUUCACUCGUUGCAGCAUUUGUCAAGACAGAUAAGGAUUUGCAAGCCGCAGCUGAAAGUUCUGGUACAACUGUGACAUUUGUGAUAAUAGACGAGUGGGUUGUAACAGUAGCAUCGGUUGGUGAUUCACGCUGCAUACUAGAGUCAGCUGAUGGUUCCCUAUACCAUUUGUCAGCUGAUCAUCGCUUUGACUCCAACCGAGACGAGGUGGAACGUGUAACUGCAUGGGGAAGCAAGGUUGGACAACUGAAUGUUGUUGGUGGUCCAGAGGUUGGUCCUUUAAGAUGCUGGCCAGGUGGUUUGUGCCUAUCUAGAUCAAUCGGGGAGAUGUAUGUUGGUGAAUGCAUCAUCCCUGUUCCUCAUGUGAAGCAAGUGAAGCUAUCCCAUGCUGGAGGCAGAAUUAUCAUUGCAAGCGAUGGUGUAUGGGAUGAUUUGACUUUUGAAAUGGCUCUUGAAUGUUCUCGUGGAUACCCUUCUGAUAUAGCGGCCAAUCGAAUUGUCAAUGAAGCAAUCCUACCUCGAGGACUAAGAGAUGAUACUACCUGCAUCGUGGUGGACAUACUACCUCCAGAAAAACUAGCUCCUAGUCCUCCAACAAAGUGGCAGGGGAAAACCGUACUCAAUAAUAUGUUCCGCGUUGAUCUGAAAAAUAACAUGUUCCACCGAAAAAAAUCAGAUGCAUCUUUUAAACUAGAUAGAGAAUAUGCUGAGCCGGAUGUGGUGGAAGAAAUAUUCGAGGACGGGUCUGCCAUGCUUUCAAGAAGAUAUAUUCUGUUAACCAACAUUCUAGGCCUUUUUUCACUUGGGGUGCUAGCUAGGAGCUCGAUAACAGUUCUAAGAGAGAAGGACAUAAAUAUUCCAUUGCACAUCAUUAGGAUUGUCCAUUGUGUUGCAAGACAUGUGCAUUAG